AUUGAAAUGAUAUUUACUAGAAAUAUAGAAAUCAUAACAAUCAAAUAUCAAAUUUAUAUACUUACAAAUGUCAUUCAACAUAGAGAAUGUGAACCGAAAUAAACUAUUUGUAUAUAGAAGAUCUCUAUAACUAAUUCCAAGAAUGAAAUUAUACAUAAUUGUACGUCUAUAAUUGAAUAAUGCUUGGAUCAAACUAUUAGUCUGGAUUCAUGUAAAAUGCAACUAGUUCAGCAACAAGAGAUUUCUUCACUUCCACAACUCUUUCUUCCACUCUUUCUGCUGCUUCCCUUUGACAGCUUCCCCUCCAAUUCCACUCUUUCUCCUACUUCCCUUUAGCAGCUUCCUCUCCACUACUGCUAUUUCCCUUAAAUUGAGACAAGAAGGUUGUUUGAGGUUGUCAAUCUAUAUUUUUAUAAAAUGGGUUAUAAAUUAGCAAGUAGUUGAAAGUUAAAAGAAGAUAUCAUAAUCUACAUGCAAGAAUGAUUUAAAAAUAUGAAGUUAUAUAGUGCAACUUCUUUUACCAAUAGCAUCAUCUUUAUGCAGUAGAGCAACCAACUGAACUAUUUCAGGAGUUAUCUUCUAUCAACUAAUAAAAAAUCCUUAUGAGUAGAAAAAUUAACUUUAAGAAAGAAAGAAGGUGUUUGCUGUCAAAUCUAUAAGGACCUUACCAUAAGAUGCCACACACUAGACCUUCUCACUGCGACUCCAUGUCACACGAACACAUGCCAAUCACAUGUGUGCCACCUUAUUUUUCAGCUAAUCAACCAGCAUAGCUAUCAGUACAUUUCAACCUAGUAAAUUGUAUACAUGUUCAGCUGAUGAUUGCACAAUUACCAUAAGGAUAGAAACAAUUAUCAAAGUAAUAGCACCGUAUAAUUAGACAAUCUGGACAAUGACUUAUUAAAAUUUCUCACAGCAAAAGCGCAGUGAUACUCACAAUGGAGGUGUGGAAGGCAACAAGAAACAAUAAGCAUUGUUAGCUUUCCUUCCGAAUAGAGCAACAUAUGAGUUGUGCAACCUUGAGAUUAGAAGAAACCUUUGUUGGUGGCCUGCACAUCAUUGAAUCAGAUAAGAAUUCAGGAAACCUCAUCAAUUUAGUUCAUAUUCGAAAAUGAAUAAACAAUACGGAAGGUCAAAGAAUUUAAAAUGCUCUCUCAAGAAUUUUGUCAAAUACUCGUAGGGCAUAAUCUAUGAAAGUGAUAUCCACAUCAGUAUAUUGUACAAUAACACCCCACAACUUCUAUUUUGCAGAUCCAUAUUAAAUAACCACAAUAUUACACUCACACAAUAAAAUCACAACAUAGAUUAUGCUUCGAAAUUAUAAACUUAGAAUACUUCUAAACAUCAUUCAAUUCCUCCAUAAAAUCAAAACACUCCAGAAAGAGGGAACAAUUCGAAUCUAAUCAAGAAAGCAAGAAAAAUGGUGAUUUCUAAUGUGUCAAUAUCAGUACACAAAUAGAUGGAAAGAUAGAAUUAAGCAAGAAGACAGUAUUCUAGGGGACAUUCAUACUGCUAUUCCUUAAGGUGCUUGAGGUUCACGGUUGGGGUGGAGGGAUUUGGAUGAGAUAGAGAAAUUGGGGAGGGGAAAAUGAACUUGAAUGUUAUUGUUACGACUUUUGAUGGUUAUCGCAGGGAGUAGGGUUUUUUCUGAGGAGAUUUUCAGAGGGAAAUUUUGGGAGGAAGUUUUGCAAAAAAUAUUUUUCUCUC
rnacentral:lncRNA from 1 species